rnacentral:ncRNA from 1 species
AAAGGUUUGGUCCUGACCUUGAAAUCAGUUAUUACUUAAUAUACACAUGCAAGUCUCCGCACUCCUGUGAGAACGCCCUUUAAUCCCCUGUAGGGAUAAGGAGCUGGUAUCAGGCUCGAAAUUCAGCCCAAAACACCUAGCUAUGCCACAUCCACAAGGAAACUCAGCAGUGAUUAACAUUGAUUAUAAGCGAAAGCUUGAUUCAGUUAAAGUAAAAAGAACCGGCUAAUCUGGUGCCAGCCGCCGCGGUUACACCACGUGGUUCAAAUUGAUUAUUAUCGGCGUAAAGCGUGAUUUAAGUUACACAAAAUUAGAGUUAAACUUAAACUAAGCUGUGACACGCUUGUUUUACGGAAAACCAUAAACGAAAGUUACUCCAAUCACCUCUACUUGAAUUCACGACAGUUAGGGUACAAACUGGGAUUAGAUACCCCACUAUGCCUAACCGUAAACCUUAAUUUACACCUAAAUCGCCUGGGAACUACGAGCAAAGCUUAAAACCCAAAGGACUUGACGGUACCCCACAUCCACCUAGAGGAGCCUGUCCUAUAAUCGAUAACCCCCGCUUAACCUCACCAACUCUUGCUAUUCAGCCUGUAUACCUCCGUCGUCAGCUUACCACGUGAGCGAAUAUUAGUGAGCUUAAUGUCUUACACCAACACGUCAGGUCAAGGUGCAGCACAUGAGAUGGGAAGAGAUGGGCUACACUCUCUAAUUUAGAAGAUACGAAAGACUACCUAUGAAAUCUAGUCUAAAGGCGGAUUUAGAAGUAAAAAGAAACAAGAGUGUUCUCUUUAACUAGGCACUGGGGUGUGUACACACCGCCCGUCACCCUCUUCGAAGCUAACAAACAGUCCUUAACUAAUUUAUGCUAAACAGAAGAGGCAAGUCGUAACAUGGUAAGUAUACCGGAAGGUGUGCUUGGAAA